GGAAUCUUCGGCAAUGGACGAAAGUCUGACCGAGCAACGCCGCGUGAGUGAAGAAGGUUUUCGGAUCGUAAAAACUCUGUUGGUAGAGAAGAACGUUGGUGAGAGUGGAGAGCUCAUCAAGUGACGGUAACUACCCAGAAAGGGACGGCUAACUACGUGCAAG
rnacentral:rRNA from 1 species